GCCUCUGCGGAUGAACGGUUCAUCGCCUCUUUUCAAUUUGGCCUUUCCAAAUGGGUUGUACAGAGGAGCUGUGGGUUCGAUUCCCACCGGAGGCG